rnacentral:rRNA from 1 species
CACGUAGGGGCCAAGCGUUGUCCGGAAUUAUUGGGCGUAAAGAGCUCGUAGGCGGUCUGUCGCGUCUGCUGUGAAAUCCCGAGGCUCAACCUCGGGCUUGCAGUGGGUACGGGCAGGCUAGAGUGCGGUAGGGGAGAAUGGAACUCCUGGUGUAGCGGUGGAAUGCGCAGAUAUCAGGAAGAACACCGAUGGCGAAGGCAGUUCUCUGGGCCGUAACUGACGCUGAGGAGCGAAAGCGUGGGGAGCGAACAGG